rnacentral:rRNA from 3 species
AGUGGCGAACGGGUGAGUAACACGUGAGUAACCUGCCCCUGACUCUGGGAUAAGCGUUGGAAACGACGUCUAAUACUGGAUAUGAUCGCCGGCCGCAUGGUCUGGUGGUGGAAAGAUUUUUUGGUUGGGGAUGGACUCGCGGCCUAUCAGCUUGUUGGUGAGGUAAUGGCUCACCAAGGCGACGACGGGUAGCCGGCCUGAGAGGGUGACCGGCCACACUGGGACUGAGACACGGCCCAGACUCCUACGGGAGGCAGCAGUGGGGAAUAUUGCACAAUGGGCGAAAGCCUGAUGCAGCAACGCCGCGUGAGGGAUGACGGCCUUCGGGUUGUAAACCUCUUUUAGUAGGGAAGAAGCGAAAGUGACGGUACCUGCAGAAAAAGCACCGGCUAACUACGUGCCAGCAGCCGCGGUAAUACGUAGGGUGCAAGCGUUGUCCGGAAUUAUUGGGCGUAAAGAGCUCGUAGGCGGUUUGUCGCGUCUGCUGUGAAAUCCCGAGGCUCAACCUCGGGCUUGCAGUGGGUACGGGCAGACUAGAGUGCGGUAGGGGAGAUUGGAAUUCCUGGUGUAGCGGUGGAAUGCGCAGAUAUCAGGAGGAACACCGAUGGCGAAGGCAGAUC